rnacentral:lncRNA from 1 species
ACCCUGGUGCUAUAAAUGAAAAUGCAGUCAAACAAGUCUCCUAAGGUAGAGGGAGUCAUGUUUAGUAAAGCUAGCACAUUUAUAUAUCAACAAUCCUAUACAGACAACAUGUGAGUUACCUUAUCCUGCUUCUUUGUCUAGGCAGUACUGUGCGGCAACUUUUGGUUCAAAGAAUACGGCCUGAUCCAGUGUAGCAGACAGAGGCCAAAUGUGAAGGCCAUAGGCUUGAUACAGCAGAAGGCUUUGCCUCUGCUGGAGAGGCUGAACCAGCUCUUGGAGGAAAAACAGCCAGCAAGCUUCUCCCCCAACACCUGCAAUCAGCACAUCUCCGGUUUGUCAUCGAAGCCGGUAUACGGUUUGGAGAUGGCCUCCAGAGUCUGGACAGCCUCUGUGCCUGUGGUGAAAGGAACCUCCACGCAGUCUUUGACGGACCCCGUCAUUGUAACUCAAUCCCAAGACACUGGACUGCAGACCAGCUCCGUGCCAACACACAACUCACAAAGACACACAGCAUCCUCUGGCAUUCACUCCCAAGAGAGCCAACAGAUGAAGGAAUUUUCUCAGCCUACACAUAUCACUGUCCCGACCAUUUCCGGUAAUAUUAUGGUUUCAAAUACUAAAACCUGGAAUUGUAACCUGUAUCCACCACACAUCAACUUUUUUCCUGCCCUGGGUUUGUUUAUUCCCCAGA